CGCCGCGUGAGGGAUGACGGCCUUCGGGUUGUAAACCUCUUUCAGUAGGGAAGAAGCGAAUGUGACGGUACCUGCAGAAUAAGCGCCGGCUAACUACGUGCCAGCAGCCGCGGUAAUACGUAGGGCGCAAGCGUUAUCCGGAAUUAUUGGGCGUAAAGAGCUCGUACGCGGUUUGUCGCGUCUGCCGUGAAAGUCCGGGGCUCGACUCCGGAUCUGCGGUGGGUACGGGGGGACUAGAGUGAUGUAGGGGAGACUGGAAUUCCUGGUGUAGCGAUGAAAUGCGCAGAUUUCAAGAGGAACGCCGAUAGCUGAAGGCAGGUCUCUGGGCAUUAACUGACUCUCAGGAGCGAAAGCAUGGGGAGCGAACAGGAUUAGAUACCCUGGUAGUCCAUGCCGUAAACGUUGGGCACUAGGUGUGGGGGACAUUCCACGUUUUCCGCGCCGUAGCUUCGCAUUAAGUGCCCCGCCUGGGGAGUACGGCCGCAAGGCUAAAACUCACAGGAAUUGACGGGGGCCCGCACAAGCGGCGGAGCAUGCGAAUUAGUUCAAUGCAUCGCUUAGAACCUUACCAAGGCUUGACAUGAACCGGAUACUCCUGGAAACAAGUGCCCCG
rnacentral:rRNA from 1 species